CCUACGGGAGGCAGCAGUGGGGAAUAUUGCACAAUGGGGGAAACCCUGAUGCAGCGACGCCGCGUGAGUGAAGAAGUAUUUCGGUAUGUAAAGCUCUAUCAGCAGGGAAGAAAAUGACGGUACCUGACUAAGAAGCCCCGGCUAACUACGUGCCAGCAGCCGCGGUAAUACGUAGGGGGCAAGCGUUAUCCGGAUUUACUGGGUGUAAAGGGAGCGUAGACGGCGGAGCAAGUCCGAAGUGAAAACCCAGGGCUCAACUCCGGGAGUGCAUUUGAAACUGCCAUGCUGGAGUGCCGGAGAGGUAA
rnacentral:rRNA from 1 species